rnacentral:rRNA from 1 species
UACGAAGGGGGGCUAGCGUUGUUCGGAAUUACUGGGCGUAAAGCGCACGUAGGCGGGUCGUUAAGUCAGGGGUGAAAUCCCGGAGCUCAACUCCGGAACUGCCUUUUGAUACUGGCGAUCUUGAGAUCGGAAGAGGUGAGUGGAAUUCCCCAGUGUAGAGGUGAAAUUCGUAGAUAUUGGGAAGAACACCAGUGGCGAAGGCGGCUCACUGGUCCGAUACUGACGCUGAGGUGCGAAAGCGUGGGGAGCAAACAGG